rnacentral:rRNA from 1 species
UACGAAGGGGGCUAGCGUUGUUCGGAAUUACUGGGCGUAAAGCGCGCGUAGGCGGUGAUCUUUGUCAGAAGUGAAAUCCCGAGGCUCAACUUCGGAAUUGCCUUUGAAACGGGAUCGCUUGAGUCCGAGAGAGGAUGGCGGAAUUCCUAGUGUAGAGGUGAAAUUCGUAGAUAUUAGGAAGAACACCGGUGGCGAAGGCGGCCAUCUGGCUCGGUACUGACGCUCAGGCGCGAAAGCGUGGGGAGCAAACAGG